CCGGGAGGCAGCAGUGGGGAAUAUUGCACAAUGGGCGCAAGCCUGAUGCAGCCAUGCCGCGUGUAUGAAGAAGGCCUUAGGGUUGUAAAGUACUUUCAGUUGGGAGGAAGGCGUUGAUGCUAAUAUCAUCAGCGAUUGACGUUACCAACAGAAGAAGCACCGGCUAACUCCGUGCCAGCAGCCGCGGUAAUACGGAGGGUGCAAGCGUUAAUCGGAAUUACUGGGCGUAAAGCGCACGCAGGCGGUUGAUUAAGUUAGAUGUGAAAUCCCCGGGCUUAACCUGGGAAUGGCAUCUAAGACUGGUCAGCUAGAGUCUUGUAGAGGGGGGUAGAAUUCCAUGUGUAGCGGUGAAAUGCGUAGAGAUGUGGAGGAAUACCGGUGGCGAAGGCGGCCCCCUGGACAAAGACUGACGCUCAGGUGCGAAAGCGUGGGGAGCAAACAGGAUUAGAUACCCCUGUAGUC
rnacentral:rRNA from 1 species